CCUGCUCUUGCUCUUUUCUUUAUAACAAAUAAGUAAACUAGUUGUGAAUGACCUCGGGUGUAAAAUUUUUGUAGUAAUUUAGAUUAUGUCAGUAUUAGAAUACACUAAUUCUUGGUCUGUUAGAAUACUUUGCGACUCCCUAAGGAAAUACCAGGUGGAAGUGGUGAGAAACCGUUAAACCAGUGGUUAAGAAGAACAUCUGAAUGCAUGUAUAUUCUUGGAAACCUGUUUUACCACAAACAUUUGAACCUGAAAUGCCAGAUUCAUAACCCAACAAACUGAUUUGUUGUCGACUACUGUGCUCACACUGGUUCAGAUGCUGUGCUUCUCCUGUGAGAAACCUGUGCAAGUUUCCAGAGUGUAAGAGAUUACUGCUGCUCAGGGAGCAACAUCACAGACGCAGUAGAGAUAAGUGGAUUUGUGCCUUAAUGAUUCCCUUUACUCCAUACUCUUCUCCUUUAAGCAAAUGAAAUCUGUAUAAGAAAUGACUCUAUGUAAAGUUAAAGUGGGGGAAGAAAGGGUUGAAAUAAUAUUCAGAAAGCCAUUCUAAGCUAGGUGCGAGCCUGGAAGUGAUGUCACUAAAUAAUAUGUAAAUUCUCUGAAUUUUUACAUCCUUUCCAAAAGAACUCUUCUCCCCAGAAAAUUCCCUUCAUUGCUUGCUUUAGUUAGGUUUACAGUGAAUGUUUGUGUCAUAAGUCAUACUCUGUUGACCAAAGGAACGGUUGCUAUUGACUGCAGUCAGAAGAGAUUGAAACUUUGGUUCCUUUUGAAAGAAAAGGAAUUGUUACUGUGCAGCAAAGCUGAUCAGCUGGGUGAAAGGGACAUUUUCUACAACUGACAGGAGGCAACCAGAGGUGAAUGUCAGGGAGCCUGAAUCUGGGGAGCAGGGCAGCCACCAAGUCUUGACAUCUCAGCAUCUGCUCCUAUUUGGUAGACUCCUGUAUUUACUGCUGCAGCACUGACUUUGCUUGUUAGGACUACAACUGCUGGUUCAGGGGUCUGCAACACCAGCAUGUUGGAAGAGGUAGGACUGUUUACAGACUUAGUAUUAGGUGUACAUUUAAACAAUUCACUAAUUCAAGCUUCUCAUCCCAGUUUUCUUCCUGAGAAAAAAUACUACUUUUGUCUAUAGCAUGCAAUCAGAUCUGCAUUUAAUCUCACAUUGGCUGAUGUGUACUACCCCCCAGCAUGUAAAGGAAAUGCUUACAUACAAAUAACUACCUUUAUUUUAGGGAUGUGACUUGCUUCACUAAUUCCCCAGGAUAUUUAUUUAUAAAAAAUUACUUUCAGAGCCUUUUAGUGCAUUGACCUUGUUUCAGGGUUUAGAUGGGAAGAGGGAGGGCUGGAGUUUUUUCUUAAACGCUGCAGGGGAUUUCUGUCAGGUUGCUUUAACACUUCGUCUCAGAUUCUUGCCAGGCUUUUGGGCUAAAGAAUUUUCAAAUGCAGCUAGCCGUCAUCACAUAGCUCUUGCGUUUGUACAGCAGUAUCUGCAGAAGCCUAUCAAAUAUGGGCUAAUGCUGAGAUGUCAAGGCCUUGGUGGCUGCUCUUUGUUUUAUAAAUAUAAAAUUGAUUUGGCUUUCAUGCGAUGAGAAAGCAAGAGGACUUAAGAAUAGAGGCACCAGAUAAGCAUCAUAAAUGCGUACAUCACUUUUAGUGUAUCAGGUGUGGAUGUUGUAGUGACCACUCUAUGGACUGAGUCUGUGCAUUAUAGCAGUUUCCUAUGCAAAGAUGCGGAAUGUUGUUAUUCCCCUAAAGAGCAGGAGAGCAGAGAAAGGGAUGUGCUGUGCUGCUGAAUUUUCCUUUCAAAAACCUAAGGGUUUCAUAGCAAUAGGUCACCACAUUUAGAAUCACUAAAACACUCAUGCUGUAAAAACACAGAACUCGUAGUCUUCUUUACCCCACUGAGGGUUAGCACUGCAAGGGCUGUUAACGAUUCCUUUAGCUUUCUCUUACUGAGUGUUUUCACAUAUAUAUCUACGGAAAAUGAAACAUGAUAUAACAUGCAUGGAAAAUAGAAGCAUGUACUACCCAAACCUCAUUCUCCAACUAAAGUAUCUAUUGUUUAAUAACAGAAGGUACGUAGGGAUUUUUUGGGUGGAUUACUGAGUUGAAGUGUAUUUCGUGCCCCCAAAAUAACAGCUUACAUGCAGACCAUAGGUGUCCAACCUUUUGGCUUAUCUACGCCUUACUGAGCCCAAGAGGAAUCAUCUUGGGCUGCAUAUAAAAUAAAAUAUGUAACAAAAAUUAUUUUUAUUAUUUUUUUUAGUAAAACAUUUUAAAAGGGAAACAAACACACAAGACUAGUGGGUUGGACACAUGAUCUAGGCCAUGAGAAGGUCCCACAUAUCUCUGGGCAGCAACUUUGGAUUAAAGGAACUCUAUUGAAAUGGCAAAUUCCUACUAUUUCUCACAGUAGAGCAGGUAGAACUGUUAUUCUCUCCUGUUACUUCCUGAUGUUUGAACUCAGUCCCUCAUUCCUCUACCAUUGCUUCUCGGUGUCACCCAGGGCUAUACAUAUGGCAACUGCACACACAGUCCUACUUGCAGAUGGGGCUUAGGCUAAAUGCUAGGCUUUGUGGCAUUUCUGUGCUAAUCUCUGAAGGCUUUUGGAUACACCCCUGAGGCAGUGCACUUCUAGAACCCCUGCUUGGCCAAACAGAAGUUCGGCUUCCCUGGGGUUAAAUCCCAAGAAGAUUUCAGUGGUAGUUAAGUUGGAUGUAGGCAGGUGGAAGUGUACAGCACUGCAAAAUGUAACUCCAUUGCCUCUUGGUUUUACUAAUGCCUCAAAGGAGGGCUGGCUCAUUCUAAGUGCAGUGCAAUAUCUAAGUAGAAAAAGAGAUGUUUGGAAAAAUCAUUCAUUAUAUUUUUCAGAAUAAAGCAAUCACAUCUUCCUUAGCAGAGAAUGCAAAGAAAGCUGUAAAUAUCACAGCUGCUCACUGGCAACUAGGAAAAAAAAAGAGUCAAAUUCAAAGCUUGCCACUUCUAUUCACAGUGAAUGACUUAGGAGUCAAAAGAAGAACAGGGUGUGUACAGUCUGAAGAGAAUAUUGCUGGUAAAAUUCUAAGGAUGCCUCCUAAAACUGGCAAUUGCUCACCAUGUCAGCUGGAAUAAAGUUUGUCACAUUGUAUGUCCAGAUGCAAUAUGGUGAUAUAUGCAAUUUCAGUCACUCUUUCCAAAUUGUGGGCUUUAUCUGAAAUGCUCUCAUACCCCAAACUGUCUGCAUUUUCAUUAAAAGAAUGAAUGUUCCUGUCAUCAUCUUGGUAGGAACGCCAACAGGAAAUAAGCUACCUCUAAAUGAAAAGAUGCAUUUUAUUGUUUGCGAAGCUGGGGAAAUAUGAGUCAAACUUACAACUUGGCUGGCAGGUGGUUUGUUUGGAGUAUGGAAUUAGUGCCUUUGUAGGGGUCUGACAAAUAGCCUGGGGUCUCAGACAAUGCACUGGCAUCCUGGUGGCUGCAUGAUCUUACAGAGAGCAUUAACUUCCCUGUGCCUCAGUUUCUUCAUCAGUAAAACUGUGAUAAUCAUUUUCUGCUGGAGUUUCCAGCUAAUAGGCUUGUUAUGCCCUGCAAAGCACUCAGAGAUCUCCAUCUGGAACAAACUACAGAAGUGCAAGUAUUAUUGCUAUUAGAAGUCCAUUACAGCUCUGUUUUGCUUUGUUCGUACUGGCCCUUUGGUACGUGCAGCUAGACAGCUCCUAAUGUUAUCUUGAUGCACAAAGCACUUUUUGUGUGAGGUUUGACUCACACUAAAAUGCCAGUUAGAAUUUUGUCCUCGGGAACUCACUGGAGCUUGGCUUACAGAAUCUGAAAAUUAAAUCAACCAAAAUAGGUCAAACACAAAACUAUAUGUCCUUAUGUGUCCUCUUGUCCUCUUUAGCAGUAUAGCGCAUAGUUGUUGUUUUCUUAUCUGUAAAGUUUGGGCCUGUUUUGUUCCUCAGCCAGCUUUGCUACUGAUAUCUUGGUUACAUUUUGAAUACCUGCUCUUGAGAAUUUUCUGUUCCCAUUAAAUAUAGUUUAGAAGGACACGCUCAUCUGUUAGUGGUCCAGAAAUAACGUGCUGAAUGCACCAGCAGCUGAUGCGACUGAACGCGAUACAAAAGUGUAUCAUUCUGUUAGAGUUUGUUGGUAGGCAUCAUUAUGGAAAUGUUUUUGAGCCUUAAAAAAGGGAAUAGUGUAUCGGAAAUUGAAUCAAACGUUAACAGAAGCUGCAGUUUGUGGUUUACUUUUCCCUCGUAGCUAGUUCUUUAGGAAUUAUUCCUGUUCACAUAAUCCUUUAAGUUAAUGUAUUUAUUCCGUGCGUGCUUUAUAAUUUCUAUUCAUUCAUAUGUCAAGUAGCUGAAGGUGCUGCUUCAAUUAGUAUUUACUUCAGUGUUAUACUGUUUUGAAUUGGUUGUUUGUUACAGUCACAAUGCAGUGAAUAAACGUGUUAAUAUUUGAAGUGGGAAGGGAGGUAAAAUGGGAAACCGUCUGCUCCAGUCGCGGCCCAGCUUUCUGGUUACAACAUAUUAUAAUUUAUUUAAACCCAAUCAAUACUUAAUCUGGAGUUUAAAUUCCGCUAAAGAUCUGUGGCAUAGCUAAAAGCAGCUGAUGCCAAAGAAAAAAAAUUUCUUCAGGCUGUGAUUCUGAUGAAUUUAUAAUGCGCUCUAAGGGUGAUGCAUUGACCUAAAUUCACAGAAGCGCCGCAAUUCGUAUUUAUUAUUGUGAAAGGUGUCCUACCAACACUUUUCUUCUUCUGAAUGUUGAGAGCCUGUGUGAGAAAGAUGGGCGGCUGCAGAGGAAGGAGCUGCACGCACAGCCCGGGAGGGUGGGAUGGGACUGAGCGCGGCCCUGUGCCGCACACCGGGCGGUGAGUCACUGUGACCCCGAGAUUCAAGGCAGGAAUUAAUUCAGCACUGCAAAAAUCUGGCAAAUGUUUGAAGCCAGCAGUGAAAGCAGACUUCCUGAGAGGUGUGUGUUUGUGGUGACAAUUUGGAUUUAUUUUUCUGGCAAUGCAAAAGACAUUGUUACGGCAGGAAGAAGACAGUUGUGUUAAAAACUGCUUCUCUUUUUUAGUUCUCCCCCCCCCCCAGCCUUUCUGGGGAAAUAGAUUUUGAUCUCUGCGGCAUUUGGUUUUCUCUGUACAGCUCUUUAAACUCCCCCAGGCACAGCCAUCUCAGGGCAGGCCCCAUGGGCAGCUCCUACCAGCACUGCAGGGAUGUGCACACACCAUUCUCUUGUAAGGUCUGGGCAACCUCAUAUUUCCCAGCACAUUUUGGCAAGCUUUUACUCAGAGUGGUCCAACAGCUUUUCAUAGUAAGUGAAUGACUUCCCAGUGACCUGAGCCCUCUUCCAAGCCUCCUUUGUCACCCUGACAGCUUGCAGUCAUGCUUUUCUGAUCUUGUGCAAAGCUAUAUGUUUUACCAGAUCUGUAACUGCAGGAGACUUGGUUGUUCUGAAAAUUAACUGGAUGAAUAAGGGAAAUGUAUAGUGGAUAAAGGCUGACAAUCAUCCCCACUUCUUUUAUGAUACAAUGCCCUGUCCUCACGAGAAGGGAGAAGAGCUCAAUUCUCCCUCCUAAUUGAUAGGUGCAUACUUGUCAGAUGUGGUUUCCCCAGGCAGUCUGUAAGGCAGGACUCACCCCCCCCACACACCGUUCAUCCCCAGUCCCUCACCUGUGUGCUUCUGGGGCAUCACAUCAGACACUCUCCCAGCAUGUGUCUUCUUGCUCUAUUUUGUGCCCGCCUCUGCCCAUAUUGCUGCUGUAGUGGUUUAUGCCAGAAUAAAUAUGGGCUAGCAUAAAUCCUCAGGCUUGGAAGGCAUUAGCCUGCCUUUACUGUAGCACAAUCGACAGCUGUACCUGGCACCACGACCUCAUUGCACCCCAGCGUGGCAGCAUCCAGAGCCUUGAUGCAUUGGAGGAGCAGAGCCACAUGCUUGCUGAGGUUUGUUCCUCUGGGCUGGCCCUGAGGAUGAGAACAGCAUGCAAACACAGCUUCUCAGCAGGAGCAACUAUUAGUUUCAGCUUUAACCUUUACUUAAAAAUAUGAAGCUGCUGAGCAAAAAUGCAAAGGCUUAGUGUUCAAACUCACGCCUAACUCAGAGAGCUGGGUUCCUAGAACCAACUGUGAAUUUCAGUUUAGCAGCAAGGAAGUUUAUGUUCAACUUCAGUUUUUCUUCCAGCUAUAAUGCUCAAAGGGAGUACUUCAGUAUCUGUCUUGCUUUUUGUUAGGGAGAUGAAACAAAACAAAACACCAUUUGUCAUAAUUCUUUGGGAUUGCUAUUAUGGCCAGGAGAAAAGCGGGCUUCUGCUAGUUCAUGUACGAGUCAAAAGAAAGGCAUAUUCCUUUCCCCACAGGAUCCCAAGCGGAAGAGUUGGUGGAUGGGUAAGAUAAAAAUGGGUAUAGAUUGUGAGAGACAGGCUGACAAAAAAAAGUGCGUGCAGUUUUUUCACUAUUCUAGAGCAGUAAUUGUACUUUGCUUACAUACCUAAGCAUGUUUAGGUGGCAAUUUUCUUUCCUUGUAACAGAAGAGGUGACUUUCAAGAGAAUAAUCUGAAGGAGGUUGUGGUGGAUGACUGUUUUCCUUGUUGUUGGUUUUUUUUGUUUGUUUGUUUUGUUUUGUUUCUUUAAAUUCAGAAUGUUUUUUACCAGGUCAACAGGCCAAUUUCUCUCCAUUGUUCACAAAGCUAUUGGGUAUUUUUUUUUCCUUCCCACUGUGCCUUGAAAAAACAACUUCACUUAAGUUCAUGUGUGAAACCUUUUGCACAACAGAAGUGGUUUCUUGUGGCCAGUAAGACUAAAUGUUCUGAGCAUUCCAGGAAGCAUAUAAAUAGACUGAUACUCUUCCUAAGGUUAUAGAGCAUUAUUUCUCCCUUUUUUUCUUUAUUUCUCCUCCUGUCCUACUCCCCUACCUUCAGCUACGCUCUCUCCAUCUAGGCAAAGACCAAACAAAGUGCAGUGUUUGAAAAUCCUGACCAUCAUUUUCCAUUUUACUUGGGUUUUUCUCAGUUACAUGUUCUGAAUAGAAAUUGUUCGAGUAAAUGCAGCACAGUAAAUUAUCUUAAAUUACUUCUUAUAGUCCAGACUAGUAUUAUAACAUGAAAAUUGUUACUUGGAGUCUCCCACGCCCCUGGCUGCUGCAGACCUGUGUCUCCAGGCUGGGGAGAAAUGGAUCACAGUACUUAUCCAGCAGAGCCUGCAGGCCAAUCCACAAUGUGGAAAGUGGAGUUCACAUAAAGGAGGUCUCUUAUCCUUUCCUCUCAAUCCUGCUAGAUACAGCAAAGCUGUCACAAUGGUCAAAUAUAAUUAAAAUGGUGAUCUGCCACUGAAGGGUAGGCCAAUGUCUAUGCAGAAACCAGAUGAGGAAUUAUUCAAGCCAAAAACAUUAAAUCUCAGCUCAUCCGUGGUUACCAUAAAACAGCCAUCCUGUUCCUUUGAUCUAUGAUGAAUUUGAAUGUGUGUUAAUAAGACAUAUAUGCUGGGCAUCAACAUCAUCUUCUGUUGAACGAAGGUAAACACUGCAUUCGUCUCUGUAAAAUAUACUUCAGUAGUUGGGAAGAAAGUGGAGAUUCAUUAUUUUUGCAGUUGUAGAAGACAUUUAGCAGCUGUGUUUAUACUGGCAGACAAUUUGGAUAUUAGGUGGCAGGACAGAGAACUGCAGAUGCACGAUAUCGUGCAGACAUUGUGCACUUACAGCACAUUUCCAGGGAAACAUGUUAUUUUAUAUUUCCCUUGGUGUCAUUAAUCACGUUUCAUGAUGUAUCUCACUAUUUCAACUCAUUCCCCUAGAUUCAUUCAUUUUUUUGGCCUGUUUAUUUAAUAGUUAUUGAGCUCCAUUUCAACAAAUUCCAUCUUAACCACAGAUAAUAAAGUUCCUUUUGCUUCAGGGGAGAAAAUUAAGAUGGCCCUGUACUGAUUUCAGGGACUACCUGUAAUAGUCAGCAUGUCUGCUGCAUCAGAAAGAUACUUUGUUUGCCUUUGGUCAGAAAAAUGUUCAUGCUGUUCUUUGCAACUUAAAAAUUAAACUCAUUUCCUGAAAGUAAAAAUAUGAUUCUUAUCUUGAACUAUAAAGGAAAACAGCUGCACUUUAUUCUGUUCUCGAAGUUCUCUAAUCUCUCUGGAGGCUUUGUUUUGGUUUCACAGGUGAAUCCCUUAAACUGCAGCAGCAAUGAUGGCUCCUCCUUGGCAGAAACAUGCUGAGAAGCAGUUGGGAAUCCCCUGCUCUGGAGCUGCAGCCUGAGGAACCUCAGCGUGUAAGAAGCGUCUCUGAGGCACUCACAUGGUGAUGGUUAUACAUCUCCUGCUUACCCCAACUUAGUGAAAGCUGUCUUCAAGCAAAUAAGACUGGCAGCAAGGCUGGGAGUGCAAUCACCUGCUGGCAUAAUCCCUGGACUCUUCUUAAAGGAAUUCUAAAAAGGGAAACUCAGGAAUGCCUACCUGACUGUCCAGAGAACUGCCAUCCAGAGGAGCAUCCUACAGCAGCACAAGCAUUUCAUCUUCUGGAUUUGUGGAGACAUGUGGGAUUUGUUCAUGCUGAAGGCAGGAGGAAGUCAAGGGAGAAAAAAAGAAUUCUGGGAGGAAACUUGGUAAAACCGAAGAUCCAAAGUGAAACAUCAGGAAACAUCACCAAAAUGAAGCCCGUUGGAUGUUUGCAGCUGUUUCUUUAGUCCUGAUUAACAGGGAUUUUCUGAGAAGAGCUGCACAAGUGCAGUCCCCAUUCAACGUACAGAUUUUCCAGAGUGAUCUCCAAGUUGUAAUGGACAACCUCUUUCCUGCCAGCAGAGCCCAGAGAGGAAUAAACCAAGACCACCAGCUAAGUCAUUGUGUAAUGUGCUGUGGAUAUGAGCAUCGAAUGCCCUCAGUGGCAAUGACUCAGGACCAAAUCAUCCUUUUGCGGGAAUUACCUACGAAGGAAACUGGACGCUCCAUGGCAUCUGUGUCAUCCUUCCCUCCAGAUGGUGCCUCAAAAUCUGUUCUGAAAUGGCAUGUGCAAAGCAGACCCAGAGUGCCUAUCAUUCAGCCCUCUGAUGGCAACUCUCAGACAACUCGGGGACAGACAGAACACAAAACCAGAAAUAAGGACUUGCAACCGUGGCUGAAGAUGCCCAGAGAGUCGUGUAUGUAACAGCCAGCGAGAGGCAGAUGACAGCAACAAGAAAUUUCACAGCUCCAAAGAGUGAACGUACCACGGAUUAGUACCGGAGACAGAAAUACUUCUAUGAAAACCAUGAAGGAAGUUCCGGAAUCUAGAGUAACUCUCGGAUGCACAGAACUGGAGACUUAAAAGAUCCUCAGUUCCCCCAGGACCUGAGCAUGUAGAAACGUGGGGGCCUGGCUGUCCUUCUGGUCUGCACGCGUGGCCUCAAGCCCGAAUCCCUACAACAGCAUCUCCACUGACAGCAAAGUGCUUCUUCGCCCUUUACCACUGAACUGCUGUGGCUUGAUUGUGUGAAACUGAGUUUCAGGAUGCAAGAUACUGUUCAGAUAGUUCUGCAAUACAUUCUUCAGACCCAGCAACUUUGGCAGGCCCGUGGAUGAUGGAAUAACCAGAUCUCUGCGGCCACCCCUGAAAAACAGAUUCUUUCUUCUGGAUUCCCUGGGAUUCUCUCAGCAGCCAGCCUUGUUUACAGAAGUCAGCGCGGACAGUAACAGCCCUUCACCAAUGAGCCACAGUGGAACCUUUGGGGAAGGCUCCUCACGGUGCUCUGUCAUCUGCUGACAAAGUGGUGCCAGGACCAGAACUUCACAAUGAACUCUGCAGAGAAAAAUCCACAGCAGAUGAAGGAAUCUCGAAGGUAUGGACCUGCAGUAAAACUGCUGUAAGAAAUGAUUUAGUUUAUCUUUAUUCACCUCUGUAAAGGCUGAAGGCUGAGCCUUGUGGCAGGCUGUGAUAUCACCUUCUUAGUCGAGUUAUUUGUUACUGUUUUUUAUGUUUUCUGGUAUUCAAAAAAAAAAAGAAAAGAAAAGAAAAAGCUAUAGCUAGGAGUUAUUGGCAGUUCAAACCGACUAACACCGUGUUUGGAAAUGACCUGGAGUGCAGGUAUUUGCUACAGGAGAACACCUGGAGCAGCUGAUGGGCGCUUAGGUACCGUAGUGCUGCUUUCCUGCCUACGGCCAAGGGACCGGGCGUGCGCAGCAGUGUGCUCUGCACGACCAGAUAGGAAUAGCAGCAAUAUCCAGCACCAAUUCCUUCCCUCUCACUCCUGGUCUGUUUCCAUACGUGGCAGUCAUGCAAUGUGAUUUCAACACGAACCGGGCUCCUGAUGUGAAAGCGUUCUCAGCUUUCAAGUUUAGGUUUAAAAAAACAACACGGAACGGAUGAAGUGAAAUGUUUCCUUUGGACGGCGCUCUGACAAAGGGGAGGAAACCCCUCACUGUGGGAUGGCAGCCGCGGGUCAGGGGCGGGUAAGCAGCGGUUACCGCCAUCCAGAGGAGAGCAGCCAUCAGCCGUCAGAUUGCAUUUUGUUUUGUGAGUGGAAAGGAGAACCCAACCGGUUGGUCUGGUUCGUGCUGAGGCAUCCCAGAGCAGAAAAACAACUCAGUGACAGGUAGACUCAGGCUUAAAGUGAGAGGAUCCCCCACGUCACUGGUUUCAACUAGAGGAUACGUCUGUGCUAUGAGAAUACUCAGUAUGAGAAACGUGCUGCGAAACAGAGGCAGCCAGUUGGAGCAGUGCUUCAGACUAAGCUGAGGUCAGUUUUAGAAUCACAGAAUACUUCAGGCUGGACAGGAACUCUUGAUGUCACCUCAAUCCACGCCCUGCUCAAAGAAGGUCUCACUACGUCAGAUCGCUCAAGGCUGCAGCCAGUCAAGUUGAACCCUCAAAUGGGGAGCCUCUGCUGAAUGCUGGUUACUGCAAGGUUCAGGCACCCAAGUACGUGCUUAUGUGAGUGGGAGUACAACGUACCUACGCCUACCUACGUGUGCUUACCUACAGACAUUUUUAUUUUCAAUGUUCUGAUUCCAGCGGCCUUUUCAAGAGACAAAAGAAAGUUAAAAUUAGAGCCUAAAAACAAUGGAUUUGCAGCAGCCAGCACAAUGCCAGUCUGCACUGUUGUGAAAGACCUGUGCAUAAACAUUCAUAGGGAUGAAUUCAGAGGUGAUGGGCAACACAGACUGAGGAAAAGGAGCCCAGAGAGUAGGUAAUAAUAAAGAAAAUCAUGAAAAGAGGAAACAGAGGAGGAAAAGCAGCUAAGUGAAAGGUAUGUAACACCUAAUCUAAAGCACAUUUCUCUCUCCUUCAGCGCACACAAAACUUUUACCGGUUCCUUUUUAUGGUUAUUGAAUGCCCACAUUACCUGAAAGUGGAAUUUAUUGUGCUGAGUGUUAAACUCUAAGUUUUACAAAUAAGCUUCCGUACAAAAAUAUUUAUUAUCUGUAACGUACAUCAUCAGCUCUUACACUCCCACUGCGUUCAUCCAUUGUCUCCCAAUACAGUUACCGUGAACGUAUGUCAGAAUAUACGUCAGCCUCAGAAAUACACACUUGUACUGCAGUGACUAUUUUCUAUUCCUUAUUUCUUUGCCUCUAUUUUAAACAACGGAUGCGUACGUUUGCUUAGAACCUAGCUUCUGAAACAGAAGGACAGAAUUACUGGUUCUGACAGCUGUGAAAACAUUUCCAUAAUACAGAAAAUCUAAAUGCCUCUUCAUUCAAUCACUUUCUCAAUGAAAACAUCCCAGGAUUAAAGAAAUCCAGGGAAAGAGAAAAGAUUAACCUAGAAAAGGCAAAUAAGCAAGUGAAUAAAGCUGGGUUUAUUGCUUCCUGCUUCAACAGUGUCCAACAAGAUCUGGGCCAUGGUGCCACAGCUUUCACACGCGUGUGCAGUGGACACAGCUCCCCUGCAUGCAAACAAUGCACCAGCUUGCAUGAAGUGAAUUGGGGCCAGCACAAUUGUUUGAAGGAGGAGGGAUGCACAGUCCCUGGAAGCACAGAAGUGCCUUUUCUCUCUGGUUUCAUGCAGCUGACAUACCGAGCAGAGGAGCCAGAGAGAACAUGUAAUGGAAAUAAAUGACUUUGCAGACCCAACGGAAGGAGGUGGGAGCGAAAAAGCAUCCUCACCCCCUGCCCGGCGGCUGCGUAAAUCUGUCCCUGCCAGGAGAGCUCCGGGAGGUGCUCAGCGGCCGCCUCCCCAGGAGUCAGUGAGAGUUCAGGUGCUUACUGUGUCAUCAGGCUUGACCUUCACAUGCGACACUGCCAGGACGUUUGUUUUCCCACAGCAGUGAUUGCUUCAGUCAAUUAUUAUUGCCCAUCGUAGAGUGCAAACACAUAAGGGCUUGAUUUACAGUGCAAAAAUAUACAUCCUGAAUUUACUUCCUCUUUUGUUUUUGGACUGUCAUAGCAUCUCCACCUUAAAGAGAUGACAGCAAAUUACUUCAUAGGUAAAUAUAUGUAUGUAUAGGGAAGGAUAAAUAGCAGUCAUUCGGGUCAUUGUGAGAUGAACGUUCAGUAUAGCUUCAGAUCGGCUGUGUCAGACGUGACAAUAUAUUUUAAGCUUUUUGUUUUAAAAUUUUCAUUUUUUCUGCUUUUCUUUGAAGAAAUCAUCAUUCGCAAAUUUUGCAAGUUGGCAAUCUAACCUCUAAAUCCAUUCUAACGCAGAUUUAAGAUUGUGCAUUCAGUUCCUUAAGCAAUGUUUAGGUAUUACCAAUAUACUGAAAGAUAGAUGAGACAGCCUCAUGGUAAUACAGCUUUUAACCUUUCCUCUCCUCUACCAUGACGGGGGAGAAUUACAGUAAAUGAUGGUUACCUUGUCUGCAGUAUGGACAAUUGAUUUGACCUCACUGCAUCUGAUGCUCUAAUGGACUUUGUGGCUGAAUCCCUGGAGAUAUAAAAUAUGUCCAAGUGAAUUGGGGCAGGUUAAAGAACGGACCUGCUUUUCAUGGCUGGCUCAAGCUAUAAUAGAUCUCCCGGUUGUUCUGAGAAGAAGAUUAAAAAUGAUCAAUAUCCAAAUCAUUAAAAAAAAAAGCGGUGGCUUCUGUAAAUCUACCAUAGGUGGGUUUUUUUCCUGCUAAACGCCGGAGGAGGGUGUCUGGGUUGAUAACGUGAGUUUCCAUAACAAAUGUUUACUUCUGUUUACUCUCUAGUAACAUGUUCCUUUUUAUAUUAAGACUCAGACACACAGAUGGCGUGAUUCAGCACUGCUUUCCUGAAGUCAUGCUUGUUUACACCAUGAAGAGUCAGGCCUUAGGUUUAUUUAAUAUAGAUAAAAUAACAAUACUAUAAUAUUUCCUGAAGCAGAAAAUAAAAUCAAGGACAGAUUUCAGAGAAUGAUGGUAACUGUUAUAACUGUGAAUGUCCUCACAGUUCUGCUAGCCACAGUGUCUAAGACAAAAAUAAAGGUUUAAUUUAGUGAGGAAAAUAGAAAAAAAAGAUUUUCCUUGGCUGCUCUGAGUCCUUCAUUUGGCAAAGUGCAAUUGAACAUCUUGUUUAUCCUUUCCCACCCUCUCACGAACAUCUCUGCUCUUUUCUCACCAGCACACAACUGAGCUCAAGGUGAGUGUAAGUCUGUCCAGCCCCUGGAGGUGCCAGGAGAAAAGCUUUCACAGCCCACAGCUGGGAGCUCACCCACAGACCUUCCUCUCUACAUACAGCAGCAAUGGGGCAGGCAACUUCAGUGGGCUUAUACGUAUGCACAUGCUUAGCUUCCUGUAAAACCCAUGCAUUAAGGAGACAGAUGCACAGCUGUUCCAUUUGAGGCAUGCAUGUAUUGGUUUGUGCACUUAUUCAGUAAACUUGAAAUGCAGAGGAGCCCAAAUCUCUGUUCUGAACAGUUUGAGGUUGUUUGGAUCUGACAUCUCUGUGCGUUCACUGACAGAAAUAAGCUAAUUAUGAACCUGUGUUGGAAGAGGGAUGCCCUUUUUCUGAGUUUUGAGAAGUGUCUGGGCAGAGUAAUUGGACUGCCCUAUCUCAACUGCGUUACAGCAAUCGAGCAAAUGCGAAAAAUCUUCCUUAGAAAGGAAGAAAUAUGUGUUUUUAAGUGCUAGGACAAUUCCACGUAACAUCACGGUUUGCAUCUAUACCCACAGUACGCAGAGAUUCAUGCAGAUGUCCAACAAAUUGAAAAGGCUUCAAAUAUAUUUUAUCUAGUUGUAUGUCUAACAGUAUUUACCUUUUGCCUUUCACAGGUUGCUUUAAAAUCUGACUAUGUAAUAACAUCCUCUGAAUGAUUUAAUUUAAGCUAACGUGCUAUCCCUUUAUGUAAAAAGUAAAGGUAUUUUGAAAGCCCUUGCUGAAUACUCUGAGGUUGCCUCUACUGUGUGGCUAGCACUGGGCUGAAUGCCUAGCAUCCGUGCGUAGAAGAGGGAACAACUGCUGCCCCUCCGAUCUGGCUAUUCUUGUAUCUGGAAACAUUGUCAGGUGCUACAAGCAUCACGCCAUCUGAAAGGCCAAAGUUGAGUACUACGUUAUUGGAGUAGAUGACACCUUAUUCUUAUUCUUCAACAAUUCUAACAACUUAGAGUCCCUCACUGUCCCUUUAUGAACACAGAUGUCAUUCUGAGGGGGGGGACAGCCAAAAUGACAAGAAGGUGACCUGUCGGUGAACUCAGGAGCAGGUGAGGCCUGUCAGCUUCUAAUUUGAAACUGGUGUCAGUCCUGAGGAAUGGCUGGUAUAAUCACAUUUGUAACUGAUAUCCUAUAAACGCUGCAAACAUUCACAGUGCGCCUGUUAUGAGUAAUAUGAAAUUAACAAUUCGUGUUUAUGACACAAGACACCGACCGAAUCAAGCAGGUCUCCGUAACUGGAUCAGCUCCGUCUGUCUGCCAGAGCAGCGCAUCGAACUGCUUCAACCAAAGCCAAAUUACUGUGUGCUUAUGUUACAAUAGGCAUUGUAUUUAUUUUGAAGACAAACUUUUGUAACUAGGCGUAAAGUGAGGACCUCAGAACCAGCUUCUCGCUCAAGUUAUUGCAUAUAAAACUUCUCUUGCUCGAGCCCAGCCAUUAAGAUGUUCGUGACUUUUAAGAGUUUGGGACCUAACAAAUCACGUGUUGUAUCUCACAUUUUCUGAAUAACUGAAGGGAAGGCUCUGUGUAAAUCUUCUCUCUCAGACACAUAAAUUACCAGCUGCGUGAAUACUGCCAUUAAGACAAGCAGACAAGUGCGAGGGGUGGGGACAGGGCAGGAUGCCCCAAAGAGGUGGAGUUACAGAGAAAACAAGGCAUUUGCUUACUGAGUAAUUUAUGCUUCAUCUGCCUUCACUGUAGCUCAGUAAGAAUGAACACCAUGAGGCAGUCUGUCAGGCGCUCUCACUUCACUACCGCCAAGGCAUUUUUCUGCAAAUUAGGUAUUUGCUUCCUAUUUCUAGUCACUUCCACCUGGAUUUUUUAUUAGGAAAAGUCAAAAUCAUAGUAUCUGAAGCUAAGAUUUGAAUUGAAGUUACACUAAAAGAUAAACUGUUGCUCAAGUAUAUUUCACAUUUGAAGACAGCAAAAUCUCACAAUCCUUUGCACAAUUAUUUCCAGUCCAAACUGACAGAAGCUCUAAAGUUCGGGUCCUUUCCUGCCUGCACUGCUGCUGAGCCUGGUGCAUAGAUUAGAAGUUCCUUUCCAAUAACAAGCAAAAUAAAAGAAGAACCAUACGAAGAAUCUAUUGCAAUUGUUACACUGGAAUUUAGUUAGCAGAGCUACAAAAACGCAAGUCCAAAUCCCAAGUAGCUAGUGGAGAUUUCUGAACAGUUCUGUACACCUUCACGUAGACAAUCCAGUGGAGCUAACAACCUACUGUAGCACUCUUUUGUGAUAGGCAAAUACCAUUCAUUUCCAUUUUCCACAGAAGAACUGCACUCCACAGAGCUUCAGCAAUGUAAACAAGGCCAGGUACAGCAUUACAGCUGUGGUUCAGGCAACAACAUUCCUUGUCCUCUGACACAACACUUACACAUCAUACUUGUAACACUACCUAGUUCAAGUUGGUGGUCAAUACCACCUAAUUAGCAGAGUAAAAGUGCAAUUUUGAAACCAACUUACAAAACUGCUACAACCAACCUACAAAACUCCAUCAUACCAAAGAAAAAUUAUGGCUCUAAAUUUCACAAUCACUCUCUGCCAACCAAAAACUCACCUUUAAGAAGAGUCAGGGCUGAAAGCUGAAAGUUGAGGCAGUCAUCUCUCAACGUGUAGAACUCCUCACGUUGCUACGAAGGUACAGCACGGUUGUUCAGUGUUUGGAUAAAGUACUGCAUGGGAACUGUUGAAUCACAGCCUGAACCACCAAUUGAUCACCUGAGGCAAGGACUGAAUCAGCUGUGGGAGCACAGGUGAAAGCAAUUCAGCUAUGUGACCAGAAGCUGUGUGACCACAUUCCACCCCUCCCAGACCCCAUUUAAGGGCUGACUAACACUGGGGAAGAAUCUCCUUGUGGUGAUCCCUCCUUUGUGGAGCUUUUCAGUGUGAGCCUAAAUCUUUGCAUACAGAGUUAAUGGAGACGCUCCAAACAGAGGAUUAAGUGGAAAGCAGAGUUUUGCAGCAACCUGAGAUAUUAAAAGGAAAACCAACUGACAGAGCAGAAAAAAAGACAGCCAACUUACGGCAACGCGGCAGUAUUUUCCACCAAAAAGUCGCCGUUAAAUCCCCCACAAUUACUCACAGGAGUCCAUCCCUGGCUUCCUCAUACUUUCAUUUGAAUGGGAUUUGGAUUCUGCCUGUCAUUGUGAAGUAGACUGGAAAAGAGUACUGUCAACACAGAUGAAGACUCAGUGUGAAUAAAAUUAAAAUAAUUAAGUUCUGUUCAACAUCAGUUUGGCCCUGCUUGAGUUGCCAGGACUCCGUACACAAUUUGGGAUGGGGGUUGGGUUUUUUUUUCGUUGACUGUGGUUUCCUUGGUUGGAAUGCUAUGUCUAAGACCACCAUCCAGGAGAAUGAAGGUCUUCCACCCAAGGGCAACAUCUGUUAUCUACACAUUUGGAUAUUGUGUCCAAAACAGGAGAUAUCAGCUUUGGAGGAACGCGAUUUCAGAGUAUGAAGCAGUUCCAAAGACCACUUGGACUUGAUCUCCAAAUGCCUGAGAUAGAUACAAGCCUUGAAAGUGACCCUCGACACCCUGGGAUCUUCUGUGUAAAAGGCUGAAGCACCCAGGGGGUGUAUCCUUGACUGUGCUGCUGAGUCAAUUAAUUACAGUGCUCGAAAUAAAAUGAAGCUUUGGUUAAGAGUGCAAUAUGAAUUUGGGUGUAACCAAGCUAUGGUGAGGUCCCCUCCAAAGGAGCAAGAUUAAAUAUGGCUGUAUGAGCCAGCACUAAUCUACUGAGAAGUGGGCAUGCUGGACCAUAGGCAGCCAGCAGUUCGCAGCACAUUGGGGUGCUCCCAUGGCCUGCAGAGAAGAGGGCUACAUGAGACAAGUGUCCCCCUCCAGAGCUUCAAAUGGACCUGAAGCUCCAUGCUUCUCCCCGUGGGAACAAGCUCAAUUUUGUGCUUUGGUCUAAAGAGAGAUCAAGAAGCACUACCAGAACCAGAGCCAGAAAGGAAUGGGUAAUGGGGUGAGUAAGAAGCCUACCAAACCUGUUCAGACUGCUCCUGGGAAGAACAACAGUGACAGCAGAUGGCAGUGCCCAGGAAAUGACUGGGGCUGGUGGGCAGCACUAUUCAGCACUUCCAGCACUAAUUUGAUAGCUGGUGGGCAGUGGUGAAGGGAAAGCAAUGGGGUCAGGUGGGAUGAGGCCACCCUGGAUAGACACUGUUCCUAUCUCUCAGACCUAAAUGCCCCUCCUUACAGGGGCAGGUGCUCAACAAUUCGCUCCAGCUCCAGUGCAGAGCAGAGGGAGCUGUUCUGAAAAUGUAAAACAAAGAAAAAUAACAUGUUUGGCUAGAAGAAGGACUCUGCAAAAUUUCAUAAGCACAUCAUGGGGAUUUAUUUAAAUACUCUUUCAAAACUUGCAUAACAAGGAAGUAGAUGCAGAUAAUUCUUAUGCGUCUCACCAACACUACAAACAAGACCCAUUUUUCAAUCACAGUAUUGAAAAUGUUUCCUCCCUUGAGUUACACGUAGUCAAGAUUGUCACAUGGGGAUUUUUUAAAAAAAUCCCUUAAGCUGGGAAUAUUUAAGAUAACUUUCAGAAGAUCUCUGUCUACAUUUCACUGUUUUAAGUCUCCUUUCAUAAUUAUGUUUAAUGUAACCUCUGCAAAACAAAUAAAAUCACUCAUUUCCAACAGACAUUCACCCACUGCAAUGAGCUCAAAGAAAGACAGACAAUAGCAGAGGAUAAGCGGCUGAGAGUGGACAGCCACGUCCUCCAGCCAAGCAAACCCCAGAAAGUAAGACAGUGUUUUUCAUUGGUCCUUUACAGUUCAGCAUUUAGAGCUGUCACAUUUCUCACCUCACAGAAAGUCCCACUGAAGGACAUCUAGCAGAGCUCUCUCCCUCUCACUAGCAGCCCUCUGCUAUGCACACGAGCCACAGCUUAAUGCAGAUACAUACAUUUUUACCAGCUCUUCCUUAAAGUAUCUGCUUUUUACUGGCUCAGCUUUUUUUGAUGCUGUUAUACCUUUGAAAUGAAACUCGAGAGUCCACCUUUCAUUCAAAUAGGGAUGUAAAUUCCCUAGGAAACUGGUUCAUAUUCUUUAGGAAUGUCUGCAUUUUCACAAGAGUCAAAGAACCCAAAUGUCUACAUUAUAGGUCUAAGUUAUGUGCAAUUUAACAAGGGUUAGAGUAACAACAGAAACAAUUCAGAAAAGUAUACGUUUGUAAUUUAAUUAUUCAAUUAUUCCCUUCUAAAGUUCUUAAUAAAUAUUUAAAUAUUGCACACAGCAAGAUAAGUGAAACAUCAACAUUGCAACAUGGCACCGAUUCAGGAUGCACCAUUGGAUAUUGGACUCAUCAGGCCUUUAGGACACAAGCCAGUCAGUGAACAUCAAGUAUAUUUUUUGAUGAACUAUUUGCAAAUUAGAUGUAUUACAAAUGUUUGCUCAUUUAAUUAGAAUAUAAAAGAUGAUUUCUUUGACUGGACCUUGCUUCUGACCCUUCUUGCCUCUGUGUGGUUUGUAUGGUUCUUGGCUAAUGAGAUAUAGGAUAUGUACUAAACAUUUACACAUUAAAGGCAUCCUUCAUUCAGCAUGAAGGUGUUGAUACAUCAAGGAUACCUCAAACAUGCUGAGAUUCCAGCAACUUGUCAGACAAAUUAGCACCUUACCAAUCGGGGGUAAAAUUGAGUUUCACAUUUCUCCCUGGUGGGAAGAAAAAAAUCAAAAAUCACUGUAGUUUAAUACUUUCUUUGUAAAGAUGAACACAAAAGGCCUUAUCACCUCUGUAGUGUAAAUUAUAGCCCUCACUGACUAUCUAAUUUUUAAUUCAUUGGUUUUAAAUGAUCCUAGGCAGUUUACAGCAAAUCUAUUGUGUCAUUCCUCUCUUAGACUUAAUAGAAGAAAAAUGUCUGCCCUAUCUCUUUUACAAAUAUUUAAACUUUACAUCUGCAUGCAUAUAUAUAUAUAUAUAUAUAUAUAUAUCUCAAAAUGGACGGAAAUCAAAGUCUUAAAUUUGUAUGUUCCAUUAACAUUAACCACCAGCAGCUUUUAACUCAAACUCUAAGGGGUAUGUGGAAUUGAAGGACUGUACAGCAAUGAAACUAUGAUGGUUUAAUUUUUUUCAGCUGACUGGUGCUGAAAAUUAAUGCAUAAAGAUUAGGGUUAGGAUUAGUGCAUGAAGAUGCAGAUUGCUGGCACCCUGCGUGAGACAUUCAGAGCACCAGAAAGACCCACUGCCUGGUAAUGCAGUCUAAUAAAGUAUCCCCAUAGAUUGAGAGUAAAGGUAAAGUCAGCUAUAGGUGCUACAGACACUACAGCAGGACCCAGUGACCAUCCGGUGCCCUUAAAUCACCAAGCAUUACACAGCAUGGACUGAGGAAACCGAGUUGACUACCUACUCAAGAUUUGUGAAGAGAAGGUUACUACCAUAAACCUCAAAGAUGGGAAUUAUUUAUGCAUCCAAUAGCUUUCUGCAAUUUAUGUAGCUGAAACAUUUACCUCACCGUGAACGCAUCACAAAAACACCCAUUUUCCAAAACUGUGAGGUCAGCAAAUGAAAUCAACCUGUAACUUGUGCAGGAGGAGGCCUGAGCUUUCUGCAGAGAUCGGGUGUGUACCCACAAGUCAUUCCUUCCUUUCCCCUUGCCAACUUCCUCAUUCUCACAAGUCUCAAAUUCAGAUUUUUUUUUUUUAAAUAUAGGAAAGAAAUAAGCAGAGGAUCUUCCCAGUUGCAGCUGCUUGAGACUCUUUCAAUAAUUUAGUAAUUAUCAUCAUGCUAAUGGAUUUUGCCAUCAGCCUCUCUCCUUUUAUCAAUAAACCCUAGUAUCUAAACAGAACACACAUCCCUCCCUGUUCCACAGGCAGGGUGACUGUGACCCCACAUCCUCACUUCCCCUCAAAUGUCCUGUAUGCAAUCACCUUUGUUCAGACAUUUCAAGAACAUGCACUUCAGCAUAUUAAAUCUAUGACAGAAAAACAGAAACUGUGUUACCAGAAGCAGCUCCUUAAUUCUAGGGAUGCUAAUUCCCUUCUGCAGAUGUAUUUUUCAGAAUUCUCGAUACAACAAAGUGAGAAGGGAUGUUGUUCGUGCCCAGCAGCCACAACAGGGUAGACAAGGGACACAGCUGCUGAAGCAGACAAGGAAUUGAGCGAUGACUGCCUGGGCAUUACACUGUAAACCAGAUUCUUAUACCAAGAACUUCAUUUAGAAAUCUGGAGAAAACUUAAGAUUAAUUUUGUUCAUACUACAUAUUUGCAUGGAACUUUGGAGCAAGGCUCCUGCUCAGCAACAUACACUACGUAUAUUAAAACCCUUGCACACUUUUUCGCCUUAAGGUUAAAAAUAUCUGAAAGAGAAAGACAUCACAUUUUUAACUGCUUAAGAGAGAAAGAAAUAUUGGCUCCCAUAUAUAGAGUGACAUGAUUUAUAAAUAUGUGGUUAAAAAGAACUGAUUUACAGACAGGGUCGUGAAUCUGUAGCUAAGUGUUUUAGCAUUUAACUAAAACAAUAACAGCCAGCACUAAUUGCAUGUGGUCUGUUGCACAGCUACCGGAAUCAAAUAGUAAAGAGGAUCACAGUUCCUUAUUAGUUAGGACCACCUAGGGUGAUGGAAAGCCUCAAUGAUCAAAGAGAAGACAUUUUUAUGCUGCAAAUGUUGAUAUACUCUUGAGCUUUCCACCACAGUUUAAGAUCCGGUAUGAACACUUGACAACACACUAACAUAACAUACUGAACAGGACAACACACGUGAUAUUAGACUACACAAGUUUUGCUUGCUGGAAAAAGAAGUGAAUAAGAUUCAGUAUUAUUUUCGUUUUCCCUACUGUAUCGCAGAAUAGUUCUCUAUUAUUACCAGGGUGAUUUAUUUUCACCUACUUGAAUCAAAACUAAACUAGCUUUUGUUCCUAACACCGUAUCAUGAGAUCCCAUCACUGCUAUCCAGUGAUCACUGGAUAGAUGAUGUAAAACAACAGCCUUCAUUUAUCUGUAGAAAUGCAAAGCAAUCCAGUGUGAUUACUUACCGUUUGUAACUUGGCCAUCCAGGAGCAUGGAGUUGUUUCUGUCUUGGCUGAAUAGCUGAAAUGUUUGGAAGAGAAUAAUUUAAUGUAUGUGCGGUAUUCCAAGUGACUAUAAUUACUAAGAGAUAUUUUCAUUUUUAAAUUUAUAACUGCACUUUCUUUGUUUAUUGUUGUUGUUCAGUCUCCUGCCUUCAAUAGAUCACGACUUCUGAUGCUGUAAUUCAUUGCAGACUACUCUGUGUUAUAGAGAAAAACCUUAUGGUUCAAGUGAAAGAGGUUGAAAAGAAAUCAGCGUUAAAAAACAUGAACAUGAAUUUUAAAUUCUAUUUUUACAAAAUAUCAUCUAUCAUUAAAAGCUAUCAUUAAAUCAUAGCAGGAACCUAAGAGAGCUUUCAUUUAAUGUAACAAAGAGACGUAAGGAGACAGACAGAUAGCACAGUGCUUCCAAUAAGAGCAAAUUUUACUGAACAAAGAGUAUAGCAGCUGACCUUGUGGCUGUAAUGGAGGUGUGGGAAGAAGGAAGAUUGCUUAACUGGCAGAAGAAACACUGAUUUCAUCCUUGUGUAAUUAUCCCACACACACUGAGAAUGGUUGCAUACCUUCUGCUCUGCUUUGAUGCAAUUAUUAGCGUGUGCUUAUGGUCCAUAUAUAUAUAUAUGCACUUCAGACACUGAGCUACGCUCCAUUCAAAGCAGUUUAGCAUUCAGCUCUGAAAGCUCUUCAGAACUCUUGACUUGAACACCUCUAAAGCCUUCAAAAUCAACUCUGCACCAACCCCAUGUUUAACGUUCAGAUCUCAUUAGUUUUGGCUAGGAAUGCUCUCUAAUUACUAAGAGAGUUUUCUCAAGUUGCACUUUAGAAAUUCAUCUUUUUUUGUACACUGUAAAGUAUUCAUAAAAAGCUAAAAACUGUGGGAAAAUUAGCAUUGAUGGAUGUUUUCUUACCCUCCACCAGGAAAUGAUGUACUUGAAACUCAUUACAGAUCUUCAUAGAAACUCUGCUGAAUGUGCCUUGGGCUUUGUGCUGAUCAGCACACACUGAGCUUACUGCAUAAUUCAUCUCUCUUGUGUCACAUUUAAUGUAUAACAUGCAUUUCCUGUUAAUUAUGAAAAUAAAGAUGCGUUCUUUCUUUUAGAAACAUAAUCAUUAAAUUACUACAGAAAUUAA
ensembl:lncRNA